rnacentral:lncRNA from 1 species
GUUUGUAUGUGAUUUGGAGACAAAGUAUCAAGAGGCAUAGACCUGGUCGUAUAGUACCAUGACGCAAUACAUAUAACAACUCAUGUCUUUUAUGUUGUACGAAUUUAGAGACACAUUUUACAUAGAAAAUUCUUUGGGCUCCCAAGGCCAUGCCAAUUUAUCUUACAACAUGUGUUUAAAGAGUGUAAAGUGUUUCUAAUAAUUAUUAUGUCAUGUUAUUUUAUACUACAAGUGCAAUUGCACAAUAGGCUAUACCUAGAUAUCUUAGAAUCGCGUUUUAUUUGACCCCAUGUGUGCAAGGACUCCGGAUGAUUUAACGAGAAAAUCAUGGAUAGUAUGUAUGUUUGGUGGUGGUCGGCUCAUGGAGCCAAAAAGGUGUAUGUU